AGUCACGUGCGUCUGUUCCCGUUAGCAACGCUUCUAAACAACCCGCCCUACCUCGCAUCUGGCGCGGUCCAGUGUUUCUCGACGACCCCGGGCUUGGUGAGGCUGAGCCUGGCCUCUCCCGAUUUUCCAGACCGUUGACAUCCCCCCCCGCCGCAAUGGCAGAGUUGGGUCUAAAUGAGCACCAUCAAAAUGAAGUUAUUAAUUAUAUGCGUUUUGCUCGCUCAAAAAGAGGCUUGCGACUCAAAACUGUGGAUUCCUGCUUCCAAGACCUCAAGGAGAGCAGGCUUGUGGAGGAGACCUUCACCGUCGAUGAAGUCUCUGAGGUGCUGAAUGGGUUGCAGGCUGUGGUCCACAGCGAGGUGGAGUCUGAGCUCAUCAACACAGCCUACACCAACGUGCUACUUCUGCGGCAGCUUUUCUCACAAGCCGAGAAGUGGUACCUCAAGCUGCAGACAGAUAUCUCUGAACUUGAAAACAGAGAAUUAUUAGAGCAAGUUGCAGAAUUUGAAAAAGCGGAAUUUACAUCUUCAAAUAAAAAGUCCAUCAUAGACAGCAUGAAGCCAAAACUGGCUCCGCUUCACGAAGGUGGAGCGGCAGAACUCCUGAACAAGGAAAUUAUAAGACUUCAAGAAGAGAAUGAGAAAUUGAAGUCAAGACUGAAGACCAUUGAAUCACAGGCAACAGAUGCAUUGGAUGAGAAGUCAAAGCUGGAGAGAGCACUGCAAGAUUUACAGCUUGAGCACGGGAAUCAAAAGGAUUUUAUAAAGGCCCAAGACUUGAGUGACUUGGAAAACACAGUUGCUGCUUUGAAGAGUGAGUUUCAGAAGACACUUAAUGACCAGACAGAAAACCAGAAAUCCCUGGAAGAGAAUCUAGCAACGGCCAAGCACGACCUACUGAGGGUACAGGAGCAGCUGAGCAUGGCUGAAAAGGAAUUAGAGAAGAAAUUCCAACAAACAGCAGCUUUUCGAAACAUGAAGGAGAUUCUUACUAAGAAGAAUGACCAAAUCAAAGACCUGAGGAAAAGACUGGCAAAAUAUGAACCUGAAGAUUAGAAACUGAUGACUUCAUCUGGAAGCUGCCACAACAUGAAAGAACAAGCCCUUUCUCACCUCAGGUGAAGACAUCGGAAGAAUAAAAAGGCAACUCACUGACUGAGAAGAAAUCUGUAAAACACAAAACUGACAAAGGGCUCAUAUCCAGAAUAUGUAAAGAACCAAACCCACAAGCCGUUUAACGGUUGGCAGAAGACUUAGGCCCUCCAGGAAAGGAUGUGCAAAUAACCCCAUCAGCCUAUGGCAAGGUACGCAAUACGGAGCUUAAAAGCUACGGUUAAGGAUCACUGCACACCCACCAGGUAGGGUAGACCUUUGGAAACAGCGACAAGUGUCAGAGGCACAGCCAGUGUGUCAACUGGCACAACCUCUGGUGCACGCAUGCCUGCCUCAGGGCCCCGAGUUCACGCCAUGAGUGGGUUCACGCACCCAAGGACUCAUACUAGAUGUCGUUAACACUAUUCAUCACAGCCACAAACUGGAAACAACACAGACACCCAUCAGCCGUGAUGGACGCACAUUCACACCUCCGAAUACUAGGCGGCAGGGAUAAAGGACACUGUCCACUGCGCGCUGGAAUGUGAGUAAGUCCCACUGAGGAAGCCAGGCAGCACAGCCACAUUGCAAAAGUUCAGUUUUGUAAAGGUCAAAGCAGCUGAAACAGACCCAUGGGAUAGAAACCAGGGGGGUGGGUUCCUCGGGCG